AAUAUUCUUUCCGGCUGGAAAUUGCUCCAAGGUGGUCAGAAAGUUGUAAGAAAGGUUCAACACACUCAAUCGUUCCCACCCUUCUGCUUCCCAUUUGGAAAUUCUACCAUGAAUCUUGUUAUUGGAAAGAUCUAAAAGCUCCAAAGUUGAUGUUCGAAAGAAACUUGGGAACUGUCUUAUGCUACAAGAAGAGAAUGACACUUUAACAAGUUGAGGGAAGGAAUAGUUAACAUCAUUGCCGCUUGUGCUUAAAGAUAGUAAACUAUUAUUUGAAAGAUGAAGAUCCGUACGAUUUUUGAGUUUUGCAAGCAUAUUUGACCUGAUGACACCACUCAAGUUGUUUGAGGAAAGAUCAAGCGUUUCAAGGCUCACAAGAUCAAAAAAGGAAUUUGGUAUUGAUCCAUGAAUGUCAUUAGAACUCAAAUCAAUAUAUUCAAGAGAAUUAGGCUUCUGAAUUUGGUCAAUUGGACCAGUGAGCUUGUUAUAGCUGAGAUCUAACCUUCUCAAAGAUAGCAAAGUAAACAGCCAAGAUGGUACUCCACCACUUAUAAGGUUAUUGUUAAUGCUAAUAUCUUCUAGCAAUUGAAGCUCACUAACAUGAUUUGGUAGGGAACCUUCUAAUCGAUUAUGUGACAAAUCCAGGUGGGUAAGUUCUGUGAGGUUGAACAUAGUUGUUGGAAGUUGACCACAAAAAUUGCAGAAAGAAAAUGACAAAAAAGUCAAUUUAUUAAGGUUUCCAAAAGUAUCAGGAAUCUGUCCUCCAAAAUCAUUUCUUGAAAAAUCUAGAAAGAUGAUUUGAGUGAGAUUUCCAAAUGAUGCGGGAAUUGACCCUCUAAAACGGCAAAAGGAAAGGUCCAACAACUUAAUGGCAUUACUCAAGUCUGUCUUAGGGAGAUAACCUGUGAGAUUUUGAUUCCAACCUAAAUCUAUGUGCUGGAGGUAUGGAAGGCUAAACACUUCACUUGAAAGUUCUCCAUCUAGUUGACAAUCAGUAAGACUCAAGCUUUCCAGAGAUGGAGUCAAGUUCAUAAAGGAAGGAAUUGCAGCAUCAGACAUAUCUACAGAGUCAAUGAUAAAGUUUCUUAAUUCAGUUAAGUUGCGUGCAAGCAUGUCAAAACCUUGACUAUCAAAUCUCAAGUUGAGAUAACCAUUCCUUGAAAGAUCGAGUGAAACCAAUUUUGACAGGAGACUGAUUUCAUAUGGGAUUAAGUCACAUAAUGAAUUAGAAGAGAGAUUAAGAUGGGUCAAACUCACAGAUUGAUGAAAUAACUCCGAAGAGAUAGAGCCAUUGAAAUUGUUGUGAGCAAGGUUGAGUCGUUAGAGUUCUUGAAGGUGGAAGAGGCUGCUGUUUUCAAGAAGAGAGCCAUGAAGGUUGUUGGAACUAAGAUCGAGCCAUUGAAGUCUUUGAAGGUGGAAGAGGCUGCUGUUCACAGGGAGAGUGCCGUUAAGGCAACUGUUACUAAGGUCGAUGCCAAUGACAUGACCCGUCCCCAUGUUGCAACUGACUCCAUCCCAUGAACAACAAUCCGUGCUUUCAUUCCAAGAAUUUGUCCUUGGGUAAUCAUCACAAUAAUCAUCCAGAGAAGUGGUGUUUUUGAAUUCAAGCAAGGCAGCUCUCUGUUCUUGGAGGCAGAAAUGAGCUGAAUGAAGAGAAGAGGAAGGGAAACUCAAUGAACAAUGGAGCUGGAAAUACAAGAGCGCUAAAAGCGGGCAAAGGAUUUGGAACAACAACCUAAAUACCCUUCCCAUAUUUUCUCGAGAAAAAGGAAAGUAUGAAACAAGGGUUGUCGGAAAGGGGCAAUGUUAGGGAGGUGAAGUUGAACAUGAGCUGCGGCUGAGGCCGAGGGACAUAAAAACACAAGUAGUGGACAUCUCUUUUUCAAGUCAAAUCAACAAAUCUUUUGAGUUGUUUUCCAUUAAUGCAUCUAAAGUCAAGUCUUCUCAAAUUUAUUGAUUGUGUUGAGAAAUUUGAACAGCACAAGUGUUAAUGCGUGGAAUCAAAACUACAUUAAUGGAAUAAAAGAAAAAGUGUUGGUCCCGUGUUAGAAUGAAAAGCAAGAAUCCUAUCCCAUUUUCUUAUUGGGAAAUGCUUAUCAGACCCGAAUUUCAUGAUCGAAAUCGAAGUGCAGUAAGAAAGUUUUUUUCCUUCUUGUUUACCAAGAAAAAAGCUCAAAAGUAAGAAAUUCAUGUCACAUGCAAGCUGUGUGCGUGACAGAAUUAAAAGAAAAGCUUCAAUAUCAUAUAAAGGGUAGGAUUUUGAAAUAGAUGGAAAAUUUUGUGAGCAUAUUUUUCUCAUCCUUCCGUCGCAUUUUCACAUUAAAAGUUAGAGUAGUAUUAUUUUUCCCAACAAAAAAUAAUUGACUAUUUUUAUUCAACUAUUUCAUAGGCAUCAUAUCACCUAUAAUUAUUGCUAUUAAAAUACUAUAAUAUUUAAUAUAAUACCAACUAAUUCAGAUCAAUUGAAGAAAAAAAAAUUAUAUAAAAUAAGACAUAAAUUUGUCUCCCAUGAAAAUUUCUCUUUUUUUUUUUUUAAUUUCCAAUUUAUGAUUUAUUCACUUAACAAACUAACCAAUAUAACAAUAUGAUAAGAAAUGAAUAAAUAAAUAAGGUUAAAUAUUAUUUAUUAGAAUAUUUUUAAUAUUGAAAAGAAAUGUUUUGAAUGCAUCACAUAAUUGAUAAAAUGUCUAUAUUUUUAUGGUGUUAUGUAUGCAAAGAAUUAUCAAAGAUGGAAAAACUUUUGAAGAUAUAUAUGCCAGUGACGACUACUUGGUUUAAACCUGAAAAUUUGUUGAACUAGUGCUUGGACUUGAGUGAUUGCAAAAUUCUUACAGAUUAGAUAAAUUUUAGUAAUAUUAAUAAUAGAAAUAUUUAAAAUAUAAUAAACAAAUAUAAUUAUUUAAGUAAAAUACUCUCACCUUUUAAGUUUUAAUCAAAAUUACAAACAGGUCCAUUAAUUUUUGAAAUGGACAUUUCACCCUAAAAGUGCGAACACCGUUAAUAGAGAUUAUGAAAAAACUUAAUUGCCCUUCCUUUUUUUUAUUAAUUUAAAAAUUAUUAUUAUGUUUUUUAUAAAAAAAAAAUAGCCCCAAGAAAGGGGAGCAUCGGCCAAGGGAGGGGAGUUUUGGUGCUCCCAGGAUGGGAGCCUUUUUUUAAUUAAUAAAAAAAUUAGAAAAACGUAAUAAAAUUAUAUAAUAGUAAUUUUUAAAAUUAAUAAAAUAUAAAAUUAUCUUUUUAAUAUUGUCACGUCAUCAAAUUGAUAAAAAUACUAAUGGCUAGACUUAUGUAUCCAGGGAAAAAUAUUUUUUUGGAACGGAGUGUCCGUUUUGAAAACUAAUGGACCUUCGUGUAACUUCGAUCAAAACUUAGAGGGUGAGGGUAUUUUACCCUAAUUAUUUUCAUGGAUAAAGAAGUUUUUCUAACAGUCUUACUUAUAUAUAAUUAUAUAUACCUACCGGCCAACUACAAAUUACUAAACUUAAGCAAUGUUAUUUGCUCAAAAUAAAAACAUUGCCUUGUAUGUGUGUAUAUAUACAUGCACACAUAGAUAUACAAACAUGUCCAUAUACAUACAUCUUACACACAUAAAUACAUCCAUUAGAAUAAGGUUAGAACUAAAUAUUGUCAUUCAUUGACAAAAAAGCAAGUCAUGUUUCUUUAUCAAAUUAAGCCAUUUAUUCCUACAACUUACAUUUAAUGGCACUUUAAUUUACGGUCACAAGGAAACAAAUAGAGAUGUGCAUUAUUGAAAUGUGGAUUAUUGCAGGCCUUUAUUUAUGUCAUUUUCCAAUCUACUUUAAGUCUUUCCUAAGUCCUUUAAAAUUCUAUAAAUUUCAUAUGUGGAAGAUGAGAUUUUUGUCUUAAUUGGCAUAUAAACACUGAAUUUUAAUAAUCUUGUAAUACAAUCUAAUGAAAAAUACUAGAAAAUAUGAGUUUUUUUUAAUAAGAAAAUAUGAUUUUUUCUUGAUCAUAUAUUCCUAAAAAAUUAUUAACUGCCAAAAAAAAAGCAUAUUGAAAGAAUGAAAUUUGAAAAGCAAAAAAAUAAAAAUAAAAAUAAGCAUUAUAGGCUCAAUAUAUUUGUUAUCCUUAAUAAAGGCUUAAGGGUAAUAAAAUAAAGAAGAGAGGGUAGAUUUAAAAUUUAUUUUGAUACACAUCUUCAAUGAAAUUUUUAAAAUCUAAAAACAGAAUUAGAAAAUUAUCAUGUAUCCCAUUUAAAUAUAUUAAAUUAAUUAAUAAAUAAAUAAAAACAUAUGAAAAUAUUCUAACUUUUUUCUUGUUAAAUUUAAGAACUCAAUAGGCGAUUGUAUAAAAUCCAAAAGAUAGCCAUUGUUUACAUUUUCAUGCUUUAAGCACGGUUAGUCUUCGGCAAAAUUUCCCAGCAAUUACUGAUUCAUUGAUAUUAUGACUUGUGCAUCAUCAAGACCUAUGUGAUCUCCUCAUGAAAAUCCUUACAAUUGAUAUUAUAGCAGCAUAACUAGCAUAGAAAUACAAAUGGGAGUACCAGGCGUUCAGGAGAAAAGGUACAAACUCAGGGAUUGAAUGAAGAAUGCUUCAAGAAAUUUGGUUUUUCCUGAGAAUGGAUUUUAUCAAAGUGUUCAGAUAGAUUUUCUCAUUCAUUAUAUUUCAAUUCUUUGUCAAAAUGUAACAUCAGCAUCAGUCUUAACAACAAGUACUAAUUAAACACUUAAGUUCUGCUUAAAAAAAACAACAGUAAAUAAUUUUAUCAUUCAUAACAAGGUUGUUAAAUGCCUUUUGAUUAAGUUUGAAGUUACUUUUUACGCAUUCAUACAUUUAAUUCAUUGAUUGCCAUAAUUAAAUUAAAAUUUUCUUUUUUUAAAUAAAAAAUGUAAAAUAGACAAAGUAGUGUUUUGCUAGAUAGAAAAACAUCAACCGUACUGUCUAGUUCACAUUUUAGAAAACCAUUUUUGUGGGAGGUGGGUGUGAAACUUGAACUGUUCUUUUCAAAAAAGCACAAGAUAUGAACUAGUAAUUACACAGCUUCUUAACGUUCCAUAACUGCUAUUCUAUUUUCUUUAUUCUUCUGGAUAUUCCAAAACGGAAUCUGUUGCUUGAAAUUACUGUUGAAGCACACUGUUACCGUAGGAUACCAGCUGAUGUAAAAAUUAGUCAGAAGUUGAUUUUGCAAUACUUUGCAAUUGCUCCUGCAUCAUAUCAUAGGUAACACCACCUUGAUUCGUGUCUCGUUCCAACUACAAUAGUAAGUACCUUAUUGCUUCAUGUGAAAGAGAGAAACUUUUGAAGAAAACACGAUACAAAUCAUUUUUAGUCAUCGUGAUUCUGCUCUUUUAACUUUUCAAGUCUUUUGUUUAGCACAAUAUCUUUUAAGCAAUAUUAAGCCAAAUCUUUUUUAAGUAUUGUUAUUGGCAAAGAAGUUAAACAAGUUUUUAACCGUCAUAAUUGAAAGGUCGAUGGGAUAUUUUAACAAUUAAAACUUGAGAUAUAUGAAAGGUCUAUUAUUUUUCAAUAGAUUUAUCAUCAUCUUUUACAUGAAUAAUAUUCGAUUAUGAAUUAUGAAUAGUUAAAGUAUCCAAAUAGUCUCUGUACCUAUGUAUUUUUGUCAAUUUAGUCUAUUUUACUUAAAAUCGAAGUAAUUUAGUCUUUUGAUUUUAGGAAUUGAAGCAAUUUAAUUCCUUUUUUAAUGGUGUCUAAUUUUACCGUUACAAUGAUGACAUCAACACUGACGUAAUACCGACAUGAUGACUUGGUAUGGCAGAUUAAGAAAAAAAAUUUCGAAAAAAAUCUGUGCAGCGUCAUUUCGAUUAAAAUAAACAAAAAAUAUAUAAUAAAGAGAUUAAAUUGAACAAAAUUAAGGUGUUUAGAGACUAAAUUAAAAAAAAUAUUUGAAAAAUACAAAUUUUUGUAUAGAUGAUACCUUAUUAAUAAGUCAAAUAUUUAAAUGUAAAAGAUUAUAGUGUUAAUAAAUAUAUAUAAAUAUUUUCUUACUUUUUUAAUUGAUUGAAUAAUAAAUAUAUUAAUUUAUCUUCUUUGCAAAAAUUAAAUUUGAAUUCCUUUUCUAUAAAAAAAAUUUUCAAUAUUUGCAAAAAAAUUCAUAUCUAAAGUCAUAUUUAGAUGAAUAACUAACAUUAUGUUAAAACAAAAUAAUAUAAAAAACUAAAAAAAAUCAUGUCAUUAUGUCGACGUCACAUGGCAUGACAGGUCAAUGUUGACAUUAUCACCAUAGCAGUAAAAUUGAACAUCGUUAGGAACGAACUCAAUCGCUCAAAUUCUUAAAAUCAAUGAAUUAAAUUGCUUCGAUUUUUAAUAUAGUAACUAAAUUAAUAAAAAUGCAUGGGUACAGAAACUAUUUUAAUACUUUGACCAAUUAUGAAUCUUGCAUAUGUAUGAGUUGAGAUCUAUGAACAUUAAUGGACCAAAUAAUUAAUUAAAUUUUUUUUAGUUCUUUCAUCAUUAUUUAUUUUGAAUAGUGGUUCUUUUAUAAUUAGUAAUAUUUACUGUCACAUGUACUGUCCGUAAAUACUUAUUUUCAAAUUUAUUUUUAAAUAAUAAUUAUAUGUAAAAUAAAAAUAUUUCUAAAAUAUAAAUUUAAUUAUCUAUAAUAAAAGAUAAUUAACGUUUUAUUUACAUAUAAUUGAUAUUUUUAAUAUUAACCAUUAAAGUAUUCAAAACUGUUAAGAUUAAUCAAAAUAUUUUUCAAUGAAAAUCUUACUUUAACAAAUGGGAUAAAAAUUAUUAUAUUUAUAAUAAAAAAUAAUUUUAAUCCAAGUUAUUCGAUGUGAUUAAAUUCUUCAAGAUUAGAUAAAUCUCAGUAAUAUUAAUAAUAAAAAUAUUUAAAAAAUAAAUUUAAAAUAUAAUAAACAAACAAGAUUAAGUUUUUCUAACAUUCAUUCUUGUAUAUAAUUUUGCAUACCUACCAGCCAACAACAAAUUACACGACUUUAGCGAUGUUAUUGGCUCAAAAUUAAAUCAUUGCCUUGUAUGCAUGCAUAUAUACAUGCACUGAGACAUACAUACAUGUCUAUAUGCAUACAUCUUACACACAUAAAUUCAUCCAUUAGAGCAAGGUUAGACCUAAAAAUUAUCAUUCAUCGACAAAAAAAACAAGUCAAGUUUCUUUAUCAAAUUAAGCCAUUUUUUUCCAAUUUACUUACAUAAAGGAGGCAUGAUUAGUACCAUCAUUCUUUCUACAAACUUACAUUUCAUGGCACCUUAAUUUGCAGUCACAGAGGAAACAAACAGAGAUGGAGGCGAAGAAAUGAAAUAUGGAACAAAGAAUGAACUUUCUAUGCAAAAUUAUAUUCAAUUAAGAAAGCGAUUCAACACUGACAGUUGACCAGAGUCUCCGUUUAACAAAACAACUUCCAGAGGAACAUAAGGAGAGUCCAAUGAUGAUCCAAAUCGGGAAGUUGGCUGUAAUAAUCUGCAACCUUUAGCACACUGGAUGCUUAGGAGACGUGGUCUGGUUCACAUCUGCCAGACCUGUGCAUGAUGUGGUCAAGCAAACAUUGGCUGGAAUAUAACGCUAAACGUUUGCUCUACUAAAUGAAGUUCUAAGAGAUGCAUAAAGAAUACCAUCUAGGAAAGUAGUAUAGCUUCCACUCUCCAAUGACACAACUCAAUCUAGAACAGCAAAGCCAGAAAUCUGUCAAAUGUAUCUCUGAUAGAGAAAAAUUAGUUACAUUGAAACCACUCAUGAAAGGAUCAAUGAAGAUGUUUUCGUUAUGGAGUGAACAUAGUUUCGAGUAAUCUGUCAAUCUGUUUGCAUAAUUAUUUCCACACAAUUAGAGUAAUACAUCAAUUCAUUUCCACAAUUAUUUCACUAUAAUUCCGUACUAUUCAAUCCCAACUGGCUAUAGUAUAAGGGUCCACUGGUAUGUAGCCUAUGCACCCCAUAAGCAUCGAUGGCUAGAUGAUAUGGACCACUGCUAAAAGUUAAUGCAUUGUUAUCAUUGUGAUGAUAAAUGCUACUGACUAUUCCUGCUCUUACCAUCAUGGCCAUAAUAUAAAAAUAGAUUUUCAAAGUCCUAACAACAAGCACAACAAUCAAGAAAUAAUAAGAAACACUUUAAAGAAACAUGAACACACCUCAACAAUUCCUUUUCGACGUGCAUGAAUGGCUAAACAGAGGCAGUAGUCACUCUUUCCUGGUUCAUAGUAAGAGCAACCUGACCCUAUAGCCUCCUUAUUGACUAACAUUUCCAUGAAGAAGCAGCUUGCAUCACAAUAUCCCUGAAGAGUGUAUUAGGAAAACUGCUUACCGAAAACGAAAAAGGAGCUAUCGCUUUUCAAGAAAUUGAAAACCAUAGAUGCAGAAGAAACCUUCCAUAGUCGCACUACUACAAGUGUCUGAGUAUCUAAGAGCAAUAUACGACCAAGUGAAUCUGUAAUAGCAGCCAAAGUGCCACUGGGUGAUAAGGUGAGCUUUUCCCCUUUUCUUGGGUGAUCCUUCAAACAUGUCAAAGGAGAAGCUGGCAAAAGAUCAUGACAUCAAUAACAUAUUCAACAGGUUUUGGAAAAGCCUUAAUAAAGAGAACUAAGAAAGUGGCUAAGGUUUGUAUGCUAACUAAGCGUGUUAACAUUCAGAACACAUCAAAAGACACAAUGAACUUGUAACAUUCUUUGUGUCAGAAUAUGACAGAAACAGAAAAGUUCUUUCUUAAAUAAUUAAUACUCUCUCUAUCCACUCAAAUAUUUAAUUGCACAUCAGAACACGCUAAGAUGAACUCUUUUGGUCUAAGCCCAUAGUUGAACAGCAAAAAUAAGCAUUUGGCAAGGAAGACAAUAAAAAAUUAUAAAAAGGCUUACUAAAUACAAUAAUCACAGAAACAUGCAAGCAGAGGUUACAUGCUUAACAAUGAGAUUGUUGCCACAAAUCUUGUGAUAGUACCAAAGGAAAAAUGAGAACUAAAGAUCAGUUAAAUGAUCUCAGCAACAGCAAACACUCCUGACCAAUGUAAAUCAGCUUCAAUCACCUAAAAAUUUGAAUCUAAGAAAAUAUUUCUUUUAGAAUAAUUAUAAGUAUACAUGAAUUUUGAAACAACCACAUAUUUUUAGAGAUUCACACUACAUAAUUUGAGUACCAUGGAGAAGAUAAUAGCAGAACCAAAUGAGGAAUAAUAUACAAGUUUAACAAACUUCACCUCGAGCAAAUGAUUGAGGCUUCUCUUCUGACUUCCUCUUUGGCAUUUGUUCACUCCGCCAUAUCAUUUUAGAAAAAGAAGCAAUUGUGGAAAAUGUUGCAGGCACAACUUUUGACAAAAUAACUCCUAUCAAGGAACAGGUCCUAUCUUCUGAAAGUCUUCAACAUAAUCAAACAAAAGUUUAUCAAUAAAGCACCAAAAGAAAAGAAAAAAUGAAACUACAAAUGAAAGAAUCCCUUCUUUUAAUGAAAGAUAAAUCAUAUGAUAUUUCAAAAUGCGAAGAAACUAACCUGAAAGCUGAGAUCACAGCAUCAUCUCCAAUGGUGACUGCACAAUAGUAACGUUGACUUGACUGCGCAACAAUAAAAGCAGCAGAAUUCAAAUACCAGAAUAACUUCAGAAAACUUCCAUAAUUCAUUGGCAAAACCAACAAAAGCAUAAAUAAAAUGUACUAUAAGGAGAAAAAUAUUGAACCAGUAAAACCAUUUUUUCAAACGCACAUUUUGAAGAUCAAAUGGCCAUUAAGUAAGAAUUGAAAAAUAAAUUAUUCAACUAUUAGCAUGAGCUAGUGAAGAUAAAGCAACAUUAGAAAUCACUUGGAGUUCCAUUAGAAGGAGUGGCAUUAUGCCAGUGAUUGCUGCAUCAACACAUGUCCCAUACUUAUUAACAUUCCAUAACUGGUAAGGUAAUCUCCCAUAAGAGUUUCCUAUAUCCUCUGAAUCUUUCUUUGGUUUCUGAUCCCAAAAAAGAGAAUGUGUUUCUUGAAACCACCUUUGAAGCAUACUCUACAUUACCAGAGGGGAGUCAUCUAAGUUAAUAAAUCUAAUGCUUUGCAGCUGCAUCAGAUAAACAGGUAAGGUUCUUGCCAUGUUCCUGAAUAAUUAUUACACAUUUAAGCAGGGAUUCACCUGAAUAUCAGAUCCAUCAAAACGAGCAAUUACACCAGGUAUGACAACACAGACCUCCUCUGAAGAUAUAUCUUGUGUUAGAUCUUUCUUAGUUCCACGGACUCUUAACUUUACGAUGCGUCCUGGAUAUACCAUCUAAAAUCAAAUAUUAAACAAAUGAGUUCACCAUUCCAACAUUGAUAUAUCUCUAACUGAUCUCAACCUGAUAGCUUUAGAUCUAAUUGAUGUUUUCACAAGACUUCAUCCCACUCAUCAGUUAAAGAACACAUAUAACCUAUAAGUGUACACGAAAAUCUACAAAACACACCAUUUAUGUUCAUUUCACUUUUUCUACAACUGUAUCAAGUUAAAAUGUUAAAUUGAAGAUAAAAUUAAAAAACUAAACACAUAAAUAAAUCCAGCAUUCAAUAAAUUGAAUGUAAAUUAUUUUCAUUGUGCUUCUACUGCAUGCUUCUGGAAGCAAAACGCAAAAAAGCAAUCAUUUUUGAAGAAUUAAAAAUAAAAAUGUAAAUAAUUACUUUUAUAUGAAGUAAUUAACAUUAUAUUCAUUUAAUCAAUUACAUAAUUUUGCUAUAAAGCAACCUUUCAAGCAAAUAGCAAUAACAACCAAACGAAGCUCAAAAAAGACAGAAACGAAAAAAGAAUAAUUACUUGUCUAUGAAUCAAAUCAGCUCGCAAAGUGUAAACCAUGAUAAACCCUCGAAAGGUCCCAACUGCAAUCGCUUUAAUCUCAUAGAAAACCAGCCACUCUACGGCCGUGAUGUGCUCGGCCUCUAUAGGUGACAGAUCGGGUCGGAUCUUGGCACGAAACUCAUCCGGGUCGGACCAUCCGAUGAUGAGAAUAAGAGAUCGGUUAGCGAUGGCGAGAGAAUGGGCGUCGAGAGCACAUAGAAGAGUGGUGCUGGCGUCAGGGGCUAGCCAUCCUUCCUUGGCAGCGCCGAACUCGGACAAGUCUUCGCCGGCGAUGCACCGAGAUCCGUCAAGUGAUGGUGGCUCCGCUUCGACAUUGGCAAUUGAGAUUACAUAUUGCAAUUUGGAAAGGAAAGAAUUUUGUAUGGGAAAGUAAAACACGAGACUUGUUGUGGAGUCCACGUGUAGAGUUGUGAAGAUAAUUAAGAAAAUUAAAUAAAAAAUCUAUAACAUACUUAAAAGGUUUAACCACGUGGAGGGCAUAGAAAAAAAAAGAAGAGAUAAAAAGAGAAAGAAAAAACCAGAUAGAGAGUGGUCCGUGUGCAACACACGGGCAAUAGUCUGAUUAAAAUUAAGAGUAAAGCAUUUUUAAUUAAAGUGUUUUAAAUUACAACAUUUUUGGAUACAAACUUCAAAUAAAAGCUGCUGCUCACAAAUUUAAAAAUGAUAAAAUGCUGCUGCUCACUAAGAACACCCAGAAGCUGCUGUUGCAUUAGAUUCAGUUCGAAAGCCACCCUGACAAGUAGAAAAAAGAAAAGGAACAAUCACCUCUGCACGAUCUGGUUGUAGUGCUAGUUUCUUCUUCUUCUGCUGCUUCUGCGAAUCCACUUUGUAACAGUGUUUUGCCAAUCUCUCUCAACCAUUCUGACAAACCACCAUGGUCUUCCUGUUGUGAAUACAAUGUAUCCUAUGCUCAAUCCUAACACCACUCCACAUCCAUAGCCCAUCAUUACAACUUUCCAAAUAAAGGCUAUUUCAGAACCUUCAUCUUCCUUACGCGUUGGUACCCGUGGUUUUGGUUCCUCAUUAUUGCCGCAUUGCUUUGACAGUGGGAAGCCACACAAUCCCAAGUUAUUGCUAUAAGAAUCGUUCUCAAAAGUACCAAAUUGAUUCCCAUGGGGAAUUGGUCCCACAAGAUCAUUUUGUGAAAGAUUUAACACUUCAAGGAAUGUCAGAUUCGUCAAUUGGGAAGGAAUUCUGCCACCAAGCUUGUUUGACGAGAGAUCUAACGAUUCAAGUGCCAUCAUAUUUCCGAAAGAUGGUGGGAUAGGACCAGUCAAGUUGUUGUUAGACAAGUUGAGCGUUUGGAGCGAAAUAAGUUCUCCGACUUCCUUAGGAAUUUGUCCACAAAAUAGAUUGCUCGAAAAGUCUAUGGAUGUAAAAAUGGUUAAGGUUUCUGCCAACUCCAUCUCCAUUUUUUUUGUUGUUACAUUCACAGAAGCUUUCUUAGAAUCAACCAUAGAAGAUGUGCAGUCGCGAUUAUAAACUGAACAUCGACUAUCCAGCAGUGGGCGUUGAUCACCAUAUUUCUCUAGAUCUUUCAUUGCUCUCAAAUUUUGGAAGAAUUUUGUUGGCAAGGGACCGGUGAGCACAUUAUGAGAGAGAUCAAUUAUUUGCAAUGCCGAGAAGUUAGAUGAAGCUAUGGAAUGGGGCAUGGGACCAUACAAUCUAUUCUUUCGCAAAAUAAGAACUUGUAGGUCAGGAAGUGAAGCUAACCAAUGGGGAAAGGUAUCAGCGAACUUGUUGUUCCUUAAAUUCAAAAUUCUCAGGGAACUACAAUUAGCCAAAGAUCGUGGCAGUAAUCCUUCCAAUUGGUUGUGAUUAAGGAAAAGAUAUCUCAACUGACCAUUUGUAAAAGAAUCAGGGACUUUGCCAUAAAAAUUAUUCAUCUCCAAAUUCGUGAACUCGAGACGAAAGCUGAAAUUUCCAAGAUAAUUUGGAAUGGUUCCAGUCAAGUAAUUUCUAGACAAGUCAAGAAACACAAGCGAACUUUGAUUGCUAAUUACAGGAUUUGAAAGAAUUGGCCCUUGAAGCAAGUUAGAUCGAAGGUCAAGAAUAUGUAGAUUCUUUCCUGGGAAUUGCUCCAAAGUGGUCAGAAAAUUGUAAGAAAGGUACAACUCCUGCAAGCUUUCCCACCCUUCUGCUUCCCAUUUGGAAAUUCCACCAUAAAUCUUAUUAUUGGAAAGAUCUAAAAUCUCCAAAUUUGAUGUUCGAAAGAAACUUGGGAAUUGUGUUAUGCUACAAGAAGAGAAUGACACAUUAAAAAGCUGAGGGAAGGAAUAGUUAACAUCAUUUUCGCUUGGGCUUAAUGAUAGUAAACUAUUAUUUGAAAGAACAAGAUGGGUAAGAUUUUUGAGUUUUGCAAGCAUAUUUGACUUGAUGACACCACUCAAGUUGUUUGAGGAAAGAUCAAGCGUUUUAAGGCUCACAAGAUCAAAAAAAGAAUUCGGUAUUGAUCCAUGAAUGUCAUUAGAACUCAAAUCAAUAUUUUCAAGAGAAUUAGGCUUCUGAAUUUGGUCAAUCGGACCAAUGACUUUGUUAUCGCUGAGAUCUAACCGUCUCAAAGAUGGCAAAGUAAACAGCCAAGAUGGUAGUCCACCACUUAUAAGGUUACCGGAUAAGUGAAUUUCUUCUAGCAAUCGAAGCUCACUAACAUGAUUUGGUAGGGGACCUUCUAAUCGAUUAUAUGACAAAUCUAGUUGGGUAAGUUGUGUGAGGUUGAACAUAGUUGUUGGAAGCUGACCACAAAAAUUGCAGGAAGAAAGUGACAAAAAAGCCAAUUUAUUAAGGUUUCCAAAAGCAUCUGGAAUCUGUCCUCCAAAAUCAUUUUCAGAAAAAUCUAGGAGGAUGAUUUGAGAGAGAUUUCCAAUUGAUGCAGGAAUUGACCCUCUAAAACUGCAAAAGGAAAGGUCCAACAACUUAAGGCCACUACUCAAGUUUGACUUAGGGAAACCACCUGUGAGAUUUUCAUAAUUCCUACUUAAAUCUAUGUGCUGGAGGUGUGGAAGCCGAAAAGUUUCACUUGGAAAUUCCCCAUGCAGUUCACAAUCACUGAGACUCAAACGUUCCAGAGAUGAAGUCAAGUUCAAAAAGGAAGGAAGUGCAACAUCAGACAUACCUACAGAGUCAAGGAUAAGGCUUCUUAAUUCAGUCAAGUUGCGUGCAAGCAUGUCAAAACCUUGACUAUCAAAUCUCAAACCAUUAUUGGAAAGAUCGAGUGAAACCAAUUUUGACAGGAGACUGAUUUCAUAUGGGAUUAAGUCAGAGAAUGAAUUAUAGGAGAGAUUAAGAUGGGUCAAACUCACUAAUUGAUUAAAUAACUCUGAUGAGAUAGAGCCAUUGAAAUCGUUGAAAGCAAGGUUGAGUUGUUGGAGUCCUUGACGGUGGAAGAGGCUGCUGUUUUCAAGAAAAGAGCCAUGAAGAUUGUUGGAACUAAGAUCGAGCCAUUGAAGUCUUUGAAGGUGGAAGAGGCUGCUGUUUGCAGGGAGAGUACCGUAAAGGCAGCUGUUACUGAGGUCAAUGCCAAUGACAUGACCCGUCACCGUGUGGCAACUGACUCCAUCCCAUGAACAGCAAUCCGUGCUUUCAUUCCAAGAACUUGUCCUUGGGUAAUUAGAAUAAACUGGCCCACAAUAAUCAUCUAGAGAAAUGGCGUUUUUGAAUUCGAGCAAGGCAGCUCUCUGUUCUGGGAGGCAUAAAUGAGCUGAAUGAAGAAAAGAGGAAGGGGAACUCAAUGAACAAUGGACCUGGAAAUGCAAGAAUGCUAAAAGCAGGCAAAGGAUUCGAUACAACAUGCUAACUACCUUUCCCAUAUUUUCUCGAGAAAAAGGAAGUUAUGAAACAAGGGUAGUCGAAAAAGGGCAAGCUAGGGAGGUGAAACUGAAAAUGAGUUGGGGUUGAGGUCGAGGGACAUUAUAAAUGAAGUACCUGAGAAGUGGAGACAUUACCUUUUCAAGUCAACCAACAAGUCUUUGCAAAAUCUCUUAAAUUAAUGGAAAAAAAAAGGAAAAGUGUAUGUGCCGUGUUAGACUGAAAAGCAUUAAGGCCACUGUAUCCAAUCCCAUCUGAAACGUUAGUAGGAUUUGCAUAUUUUUCUUGAUUUCUCAUUUGAUGUCUACUUUUAUUUUUAGGCUUAUUGGAUCCAAAUCUGAGUAGAGACACAAAACUAAUUCAUAGAAUUGCAACUCAUCACUGUUUAACCCAGUUGAUGUGGUAAUAAAAAUAAAAAAUUAUUAAAUAAAAGAAUUCUUUAUUGUAGAUUAUAACUAACUCAAGUCUUCGUAAAAGUAACUUUAAAAAAUGAUAAAGAUUUUCACAUUUUGGGACCAUCAUUAGAAAUUAAAGAUAACUUUUUCUUUGUAUUUUUUUUCAAAGAGAAGAGAGAUAGGUCAAAAGUAAAAAUUCAUGUCAAAAGCACGCCGUGUGUGAUGAUAUGACACUUGACAAUGUUAAAGGAAAAACUUCAAGAUGAUAGAAGGAGAGGAAUCAGGAAAUUACUGAAAAAAUGUAUAAGCAUGUUUUUCCCAUCCUUCCAUUGCAUUUUCAAGUUAAAAGCACUUACUAAAAGUUAGAGUAGCAUUAUUUUUCCUUAUAUUUUUGUUUUUACGUAUUUAACUCACUUGAUAAAAAAUUAAAUAAUUUAAAAAUAAAUUUUAUCAAUUUAUGAUAAAUCAAUUGAUUCAUAAAUACAAUGUUCAAAAUUGAAUCAAUUUACGAUACUUCGAUCAAUGGUAUAAAACAAACGAAAAGUAAGAAUUACACAAAAACAAAAUUGAAUAUUAUAUUGAAAACAAUCCAAAAGAUCGUAAUGUGAACUUAUUAUUUUUAUAUACAUCGUCAAUGAAAUUUUAAAACUCUUCAAUCAAAGUUAGAAAGUUGCCAUGUAUCACAUUAAGUAUAUGAAUUUAAUUAAUGAAUUAAUAUAAUAAAUAAAAACAACAUAUGAAAAUAUUUUAACUUUUUUUUUAAUUUAAGAAUUCAACUGGGAGAUAAUAUAUAGUUCAAAAGAUCGUCUUUGUUUACAUUUUCAUGCUUUGUACAUAGUUAGUCUUCAGCAACUUUCCCAGCAAUUAUUGAUUACCUCAAUCAUGGGAUAUCCUUUUGCUUUUUGUUCUUUAGUAAUUUCUUUGAUAAUUAUAAGUAUCUUUUUGCUUUUCUUUGGUUUUAAUUAAUUAAUUUACUUGGAAUUCCCAUUACAUGCUUCAGCUUUUCUUUGAUCUUUUCAGUAAUUUUAUCUUAUGAUAAGGUUGCUAAAUGUAUCUUUUAUCAAAUCUAAAGUUACUUUUAAAAGGAAAUGUAAAAUGGGCAAAGUAAUGUAUUGUCAGAUAGGAAAGCAUCAACCAUGUUGUCUAGUUCACAUCUCAGAAUAGUCAAUUUUUUUUUUCUGGGUGCAACAAUUGUUCCUUUCAAGGACAAGAUAUGAACGACAUACUGUCCCAUAACUGGUAUUCUAUUUUUUUUUUUUCUCUCAGCUGUUCCAAAAAGGUACCUAUUGCUUGGAGUUACGGUCUAAGCAUACUUUAGAAUACCAGUUGUGGGAAAAAGUAGUUAGAACUUCAUUUUGCAAUUGCUCCUGCAUCAUAUAGUUAACACCAUCUUGAUUCGUGUCUCGUUCCAGCUACAAUAUUAAGUAGCUUAUUUUCAUGAGAUAAAUAUUAUUAUAUGUAUAAUAAAAAUAUUUUUAAUUAAAGUUAUUCGAUAUAAUUAAAUUUGUCAUACCUUAUUUUAUAUUCGAUGUAAAUGUGAUUGUUAAGACUUUUAUAAUGAUAUAAAUCAAUUACUACUAAUAACUUAAACUUAAGUUUUUAAGAACCAUGCGAUUUAAAUAUGAAAAAUUACUCAAUCAAUGCUUGGACUUAGACUGCUACAAAUAGUAUCAAAUCAUGUGUAUCAAAUCAUGUGUCAACAGUUUGAUAUAGGUUUUUAUAUUGCAUUAGUGAAAUCUUGAUACUAUGAUAUGAAUAAUGAUUGUGAUUGUAAUGUGUGUUACAUUUGAUGUGGAUGUGAUUCUUAAUUAUUAAAACUUAUAUAACAAUACAAAUCAAUCAUUAUUAACAACUUAGACUUAUCCUUUUGAGAAUCACGUGAUUUAAACCUAAAAUCCACUAAUAACUUGAGAUUUAAGUUUUUGAAAGUCAUAUGGUUUAAACUUAAAAAGUUAUUGAACCCACAUCUAAUUUAGAUUUGAAAACUAAUAACAACUAGAGUUUUCAGUUUUUAAAGAUCACGUAAUUUAAAUAUAAAAUAAUAUUAAAUUCAUAUCUAAUGUAAAUAUGAGAGAUUUAUAUAAUGAUCCAAAUCAACCGCUACUAACUUGAGCUUACUUGAAAAGUUGCUGAACUGCCGCUCAUACAUCCAUUAGAACAAAGUUAUAUCUAAAAAUUAUCAUUCAUGGACGGAAAAAAAACAAGUCAUGUUCCUUUAUCAAAUUAAGCUGUUUUCUUUUCCAAUUUACUGUCUGUGUGAAAAUAAAAAGAGGCAUGAUUAGUGCCAUCAUUCUUUCUACAACUUACAUUUCAUGACCCCUUAAUUUGCAGUCACAGAGGAAACAAACAGAGAUGGAGGAGAAGAAAUGAUAAAAUCGAACAAAGAAAGAACUUUCUGUGUAAAAUUAUAUUCAAUUAAGAAAGCGAUUCAACACUGAUAGUUGACCAGAGUCUCCGUUUAACAAAAAAACUUCCAGAGGAACAUAAGGAGAGUCCAAUGAUGAUCCAAACCGGUAAGUUGGCUGUAACAAUCUGCAACCUUUAGCACACUGGAUGGUUAGAAGACGUGGUCCGGUUCUCAUCUGCCAGACCUGUGCAUGAUGUGGUCAAGUAAACAUUGACUGGGAUAUAAUGCUAAACGUUUUCUCUACUAAAUGAAGUUCUAAGAGCAGCAUAAAGAAAACCAUCUAGGAAAGUAGUAUAGUUUCCACUCUCCAUGACACAACUCAAUCUAGAACAGCAAAGCCAGAAAUCUGUCAAAUAUAUCUCUGAUAGAGGAAAAAUUAGUUACAUUGAAACCACUCAUGAAAGGAUCAACGAAGAUGUUUUCGUUAUGGAGUGAACAUAGUUUAGAGUAAUCUGUCAAUCUCUUUGCACAAUUAUUUCCACACAAUUAGAGUAAUACAUCAAUUCAUUUCCACAAUUAUUUCACUAUAAUUCCAUACUAUUCAAUCCCUACAGUCUAUAGUGUAAGGGUCCACUUGUAUGUAGCCUAUGCACCCCAUAAGCAUAGAUGGCUAGAUGAUAUGGACCCACUGCUAAAUGGUAAUGCAUUGUUAUCAUUGUGAUGAUAAAUGCUACUGACUAUUCCUGCUCUUACCAUCGAGGCCAUAAUAUAAAAAUAGAUUUUCAAAGUCCUAACAACAAGCACAACAAUCAAGAAAUAAUAAGAAACACUUUAAAGAAACAUGAACACACCUCAACAAUUCCUUUUCGAGGUGCAUGAAUGGCUAAACAGAGGCAGUAGUCACUCUUUCCUGGUUCAUAGUAAGAGGAACCUGACCCUAUAGCCUCCUUAUUGACUAACAUUUCCAUGAAGAAGCAGCUUGCAUCACGAUAUCCCUGAAGAGUUUAUUAGGAAAACUGCUUACAGAAAAGGAAAAAGGAGCUGUUGCCUUUCAAGAAAUUGAAAAACAUAGAUGCAGAAGAAACCUUCCAUAGUCGCACUACUACAAGUGCCUGAGUAUCUAAGAGCAAUAUACGACCAAGUGAAUCUGUAAUAGCAGCCAAAGUGCCACUGGGUGAUAAGGUGAGCUUUUCCCCUUUUCUUGGGUGAUCCUUCAAACAUGUCAAAGGAGAAGCUGGCAAAAGAUCAUGACAUCAAUAACAUUUUCAACAGGUUUUGGAAAAGCCUUAAUAAAGAGAACUAAGAAAGUGGCUUAGGUUUGUAUGCUAACUAAGCGUGUUAACAUUCAGAACACAUCAAAAGACACAAUGGACUUGUAACAUUCUUCGUCUCAGAAUAUGAUAGAAACAGAAAAGUUCUUUCUUUAAUAACUAAUACUCUCUCUAUCCACUUAAAUAUUUAAUUGCACAACAGAACACGCUAAGAUGAGCUCUUUUGGUGUAAGCCCAUAGUUGAACAGAAAUUAUAAGCAUGUGGCAAGGAUGACAAUAAAAAAUUAUAAAAAGGCUUACUAAAUACAAUAAUCAGAGAAACACGAAAGCAGAGGUUACAUGCUUAAUAAUGAGAUUGUUGCCACAAAUCUUGUGAUAGAACCAAAUGAAAAAUGAGAACUAAAGAUCUGUUAAAUGAUCUCAGCAACAGCAAACACUCCUGACCAAUGUAAAUCAGCUUCAAUCACCUAAAAAUUUGAAUCUAAGAAAAUAUUUCUUUUAGAAUAAUUAUAAGUAUACAUGAAUUUUGAAACAAGCACAUAUUUUUAGAGAUUUACACUAUAUAAUUUUAAGUACCAUGGAGAAGAUAAUAGCAGAACCAAAUGAGGAAUAAUAUACAAGUUUAACAAACUUCACCUCGAGCAAACGAUUGAGGCUUCUCUUCUGACUUCCUCUUUGGUGUUUGUUCACUCCGCCAUAUCAUUUUAGAAAAAGAAGCAAUUGUGGAAAAUGUUGCAGGCACAACUUUUGACAAAAUAGCUCCUACCAAAGAACGGUUCCUAUCUUCUGAAAGUCUUCAACAUAAUUAAACAAAAGUUUAUCAAUAAAGCACCAAAAGAAAAGAAAAAGAGAAACUACCCAUGAAAGAAUCCCUUCUUGUAAUGAAAGAUAAAUCAUACUAUAAUUCAAAAUGCGAAGAAACUAACCUGAAAGCUGAGAUCACAGCAUCAUCUCCAAUAGUGACUGCACAAUAGUAACGUUGAUUUGACUGCCCAACAAUAAAAGCAGCUGAAUUCAAAUACCAGAAUAACUUCAGAAACCUUCCAUAAUUCAUUAACGAAAUGAACAUAAGCAUAAAUAAAAGGUACUAUAACGAGCAAAAUAUUGAAACAGUAAAACCAGUCUUUCAUAUUCAACUGUUAGCACGAGCUAAUACGAUUAAGCAACAUUAAAAAUCACCUGGAGUUCCAUGAGAGGGGGUGGCAUUAUGCCAGUGAUUGCUGCAUCAACACAUGUCCCAUACUUAUUAACAUUCCAUAACUGGUAAGGUAAUCUCCCAUAAGAGUUUCCAAUAUCCUCUGAAUCUUUCUUUGGUUUCUGAUCCCAAAAACGGGAAUGUGUUUCUUGAAACCACCUUUGAAGCAUACUCUACAUAACCAGAGGGGAGUCAUCUAAGUUGGCCAAACAAGUUCAAAAUAUACAUAAAUCGAAUGCUUUGCUUCUGCAUCAGAUAAACAGGCAAGGUUCUUGCCAUGUUCCUGAAUAACUAUUACACAUUUAAGCAGGGACUCACCUUUAUAUCAGACCCAUCAAAACGAGCAAUUACACCAGGUAUGACAACACAAACUUCCUCUGAAGAUAUAUCUUGUGUCAGAUCUUUCUUAGUUCCACGGACUCUUAACUUUACAAUGCGUCCUGGAUAUACCAUCUAAAAUCAAAUAUUAAACAAAUGAGUUCACCAUUCCAACAAUGAUUUAUCUCUAACUGAUCUCAACCUAAUAACGUUUAGAGCUAAUUGAUUUUAACACAAGAAGACUUCAUCCGACUCAUCAGUUAAAGAACUAUAAGUGUACAUGAAAAUCUACAAAACACACCAUUUAUGUUCAUCUACAAAACACAACUGUAUCAUCCAUUGAAGUUAAAAUAGUAAAUUGAAGGUAAAACUUAUAAACUAGACACAUAAAUAAAUCCAGCAUUCAAUAAGUUGAAAUACAUCAAGCUACUGUUUUUAUUGUGCUUCUGGAAGCAAAACGCAAAAAAGCAAUCAUUUUUGAAGAAUUAAAAAUGAAAAUGUAAAUUAUUUAGAUAUUCGAAAUGCAUAAUUAUACUUUUAUAUUCAUUUAAUCAAUUACAUAAUUUUGCUUUAAAGCAACCUUUCAAGCAAAUAGCAAUAACAACCAAACCAAGCUGAAAAAAGAAAAAAAAUUAAAAAGAAAUGUUACCUGUCUAUGAAUCAAAUCACCACGCACAGAGUAAACCAAGAUGAACCCUCGAGAGGUCCCAACCGCAAUCACUUUAAUCUCAUCGAAAACCAGCCACUCUAUGGCCGUGAUGUGCUCGGCCUCGAUAGGUGACAGUUCGGGACGGAUCUGGACCCGAGGCUCAUCCGUGUCGGACCAUCCGAGGAUGAGAAUAAGUGAUCGGUUAGCGAUGGCGAGAGAAUGGGCGUCGAGAGCACAGAGGUGAGUGGGGCUGGCGUCAGGGGCUAGCCAUCCUUCCUUGCCAGCGCCAAACUCGGACAAGUCUUCACCGGCGAUGCAGCCGAGAUCCGUCAAGGGAUGGUAGCUCCGCUUCGACAUUGGCGCCGGGCUUUUGGUUUUUUGUGUCUUGUCUCUCGGUAACUGAGGUUACGGGUUGGGAAGGAAAGAAUUUUGUACAGGCAAAGGAAUGCAGGUGACUUUGUGUGGGGUCCACGUGUAGAAGUGUGAAGAAAAUUCAGAAAAUAAAUUAAAAAAAUUAAAAUUAAUAUUAAAGCAUUGGAACAUUUUUAAUUAAAAUCUUUUAAAUUACAACAUUUUUCGAUACAAAUUUCAGAUAAAAGGGAUGAAAGCUGAACAUGAAAACCAAAUUAUCCACUACAACACCCAGAAUUGUUUAAACCACUGUCAUGGGAAAUGAUUGAGCCAGAUGUUAGAGAAGCAGGCUGCAUUCGAUUCAGUUCCAAAGUCACCCUGACAAGUAGAAAAAAAUAAAGGAAGAAUCAAUUGUAGAUUACAAAAGCAAUGAGAGCUUUGCUGUAAUCCUACUUUGCCCAAAAACUCACCUAUGCAUGAUCUGGAUGUAGUGCUAGUUUCUUCUUCCUCUGUUUCUGCGAAUCCUCUUUGUAAAGUUCUUUUGCCAAUUUCUCUCAACCAUCCUGACAAACCACCAUGGUCUUCCAGUUGAGAAUACAAUGAAUCCCAUAUAUAUUCCAAAAUCUCUCUUCGGUUCCAUCUUUCAUUGCUCUCAAAUUUUGGAAGAAUUUUGUUGGCAAGGGACAGGUGAGCUCAUUAUGAGAGAGAUCAAGUACUCGCAAUGUGGAGAAGUUUGAUGAAACUAUGGAAUUGGACAUGGGACCAUGCAAGCUAUUAUUUCGUAGAAGGAGAACUUGCAGCAUUGGAAGUGAAGCUAACCAAUAGGAAAAGGUAUCAUUGAGCUUGUUGUUCCUUACAUUCAAAAGUACCAAGAAACUACAAUUAGCCAAAGACCGCGGUAAUCCUUCCAAUUGAUUGUCAUUGAGAAGCAGAUAACCUAUUAUCUGUAAAAGAAUCAGGGAUUUUGUCAUAAAACUUAUUCAUCUCCAAAUUCAUAUACUGGAGAUAGUUGAAAUUUUCAAGACAUUCUGGAAUCGUUCCAUCCAAGUUAUUUCUUGACAAGUCAAGUUUUGUGAGCAAACUUCAAUUACAAAUCAAAGGAGAGAUAUUUCCAGGCAAGUUAUUUUUUGAAAUUAAGAAUUCAGUAAAAGACGGUGGUGGAUUUGGAUUUUGAAGAUUCAAUCAAGUUGACAGAAUUGGCCCUUGAAGCAAGUUGGACUGAAGGUCAAGGACUUGAAGAUUCUUUCCGGGAAAUUGUUCCAAAGUGGUCAGAAAGUUGUAAGAAAGGUUCAAUUUGAUCAAUCGUUCCCACCCUUCUGCUUCCCAUUGGGAAAUUCCACCACGAAUCUUGUUAUUGGAAAGAUCUAAAUCCUUCAAGUUUGAUGUUCGAAAGAAACUUGGGAAUUGUCUUAUGCUACCAGAAGAGAAUGACACUCUAACAAGCUGAGGGAAGGAGUAGUUCUCACCAUCGCCGCUUGAGCUUAACGAUAGUAAAAUAUUAUUUGAAAGAUCCAUGUACGCAAGAUUUCUGAGUUUUGCAAGCAUGUUUGACUUGAUGACACCAAUCAAGUUGUUUGAUGAAAGAUCAAGCUCUUCAAGGUUCACAAGAUCAAAAAAAGAACUGGGUAUUGGACCAUGAAUGUUUUUAAAACUCAAAUCGAUAUAGUGGACAGAAUUAGGCGUCUGAAUUUGGUCAAUUGGACCGAUGAGUUUGUUAUAGCUGAGACGUAAAUCUUGCAAAGAUGGCAAAGUAAACGGCCAAGAUGGUACUCCACCACUUAUAAGGUUAUUAGAUAGCCACAUUUCUUCUAGCAAUAGAAGCUCACUUACAUGAUUUGGCAGGGGACCUUCUAAUCGAUUAUAUGAUAAAUCUAGGAUGGUAAGUUGUGUGAGGUUGAACAUAGUUGUUGGAAGUUGACCACUAAAACUACAAGAAGAAAAUAACAAAAAAGUCAAUUUAUUAAGGUUUCAAAAAGUAUCUGGAAUUUGUCCUCCAAAAUCAUUAUAAGAAAAAUCUAAGAAGAGGAGUUGAGUGAGAUUCCAAAAUGAUGCAGGAAUUGGCCCUUUAAAACGGCAAGAGGAGGUCCAACAACUUAAGGCCACUACUCAAGUUUGUCUUUGGGCGAUAACCUGUGACAUUUUGAUUCGAAGCUAAAUCUAUGUGCUGGAGGUAUGGAAGGCAAAAAACUUCACUUGGAAAUUCCCCAUGUAGUUGACAAUCUCUGAGACUCAAACGUUCCAGAGAUGAAGUCAAGUUCAGAAAGGAAGGAAGUGCAACAUCAGACAUAUCUACAAAGUUAAGCGUCAGGUUUCUUAAAUUGGUUAAGUUUUGUGCAAGCAUGUUGAAACCUUGGCUAUCAAAUCUCAAGCUGGAAGAAUAAGCAUUCGUGGAAAGAUCGAGUGAAACCAAUUUUAAUAGAAGACUAAUUUCGUAGGGGAUUAAGCCAGAGAAUGAAUUAGAAGAGAGAUUAAGAUGAGUCAAACUCAGUAACUGAUUAAAUAACUUCGAUGAGAUAGAGCCAUUGAAAUUGUUGUGAGCAAGGUUGAGUCGUUGGAGUCCUUGAAGGUGGAAGAGGCUGCUGUUUUCAAGAAGAGAGCCAUCAAGUUUGUUGAAAUUGAGGUCGAGUCGUUGGAGUCCUUGAAGGUGGAAGAGACUACUGUUAUCAUGGAGAGUGCCAUAAAGGCAGCUGGCACUGAGGUCGAUGCCAAUGACAUGACCAGUCACCACGUGGCAACUGACUCCAUCCCAUGAGCAGCAAUCCGUGCUUUCAUUCCAAGAAUUUGUUCUUGGGUAAUCAUCACAAUAAUCAUCCAGAGAAAUGGUGUUUUUGAAUUCGAGUAAGACAGCUCUCUGUUCUGGGAGGCAUAAAUGAGCUGAAUCAAGAAAAGAGGAAGGGGUACUCAAUGGCCGAUAGACCUGAAAAUGCAAGAGAAGGAUUUGGAAUAACAACCCAAAUACCCUUCCCAUAUUUUCUCGAGAAAAAGAAAGUAUGAAACAAGGGUUGUCGAAAAGGGGCAAGUGAGGGAGGAGAACUUAAAAAUGAGUUGUUGUUGAGGCUGAGGGACAUGAGAAGUGAACUACGUAUUGGAGAAGUGGGGACAUGAAAGUGUUAGAAUGAAAAGCAUAAUCUUAUCCCAUUAGGGACUUUAGUAGGAUUUGCAUAUUUUUCUUGCAGUCUCAUUCGAUAUGUUUAUUUUAGACUAAUUGGGAUAUGCUAAUUAGACCCAAAGUUCAUUAUUGGGAUAGGCUUAGAAUUGCAACUCAUUACAGCCAGCGUUAUUGUUUUUGUUAGCAUGAUUUUCGAUCUUCCAAGUUUCAUUUUGUUCAGAAAAUUAAUCCAAAACUUUCUGUUCAAUUUUCCUAGAAGAGAAUGCAGCCUCAAAAUUGAGAAAAUAAAUAUAUGAAGUAAAUAAAUAUAUGAAGUUUUUGUUGUAGAUUGCAACAAAGUCAGGUCAUCAGCAAAGCAAUUUUAAGAAAUUGGAAUUGAUUUUACAAUUACAGUCACCAUUAGAGAGAAAUUAAGCUCAAAAGUUAGAAAUUCACAUCAUAUGAAGCAUGUUGACUGUUUGUGGUUCUUAUUUGAGGGCAUACAUUCAAAUUCAACCCUCGCAGACAGUUUUCACUCAACAAACUUAAAUUAAUUGUUACAUGGACCCUUACUUCAUGUUAAUCCCUUUUUUUACCUAUGAAAAAAAUAUAUAUAAUUUUUAAAUAUUUAACUCAAUAAUAAAUAUAUAAAACGUAAAUAUAUAUAUAUGUCAUUUAUAAAUUUAAUGCAUGAUGAUGCAACAUGUAAGUAAAAAUUAUUAUGAAUUCAGUAUAUAAAAUAUGAAUUCAUGCAUGCUCACAUGACAACUUUUGAUUACUUAUUGCAGCAAGCUGAAACAUGUGAUUAGAACGACCUAUCCAAUAAAUUUGGAUGCUUAUUGGUGUAUGACUCAUGGUGAUGUAAUUAUUAAGCAUUGAAACCAAGAGGAAGAAAUGAAGAGGGAAAUAGUGACAGAAGAUGAAGAGGGGCAAUUCAUAAAGGAAUAUCAAACAAGAUGGGCAAAGUGCCGUGUUAGAAAGGAAAGGCAUGAAGAGUGUUGACUUUGUCUGCAUACAUGUUAAAAUCGUACCAUAAAUUCUUUGUCUGCAUUGACCCUUAACAACUUGAGCAAAGAGUCAUUGAAUAACUUUCGAGAGUGAAGAGUGAAGACUACGCCCACUCUUUUGAGAAAAAAACUGUCAUUGAAUGACUUUUAAUAGGUCAUUCAAUGUGUGCCCUUCAAUGUAUUUAAGUAUUUAAUUUAAUAAUAAUUAUAUAAACAAGAAACACAGUAAAGAGAGAAAUGCACAAAGCCUAGUGGUGUAAGCAUGAGGUUACUGCAUCAAAUUGAAGAUGGAAGGCCAAGUAUAACACAGUCUGUAUAGGAGUAGAAAAUGUCAACCCCAGCCCCACCCAUCAAAAGUGAGUUAGAAUAAGGUUGAUGCUAAUACACCCAAUACUACAUAUUCUUUCAUUUAUAAAGUGUCAAAAUAUAUAAAUACAACGUUUUCUUAAUAUAAUACAAGCACAAUUAUUUAUUUUUAGAUAAUGGAAGUUGACGUAGAAUAUGAUUUUGAACUUAAUUCAUAUUUGGAUUUUGAUGGAUUAUUUGAAGAAUAAAAUAAAAUAAAUUGAGAAGCCAUUAAGACUCAAUAUUGUUUGAAUUAUACCUCAACAGAUAUGUCGAAAUGAUUGUGAUUAGUUUUUUCAUUGUUUUUGAGAGAAAGAAAGUUGUUGUUGAAGCAAAGGGAGGUAAGUAGAAUCUCACACAUUUUACUUGUGUGUUUUUGUUUUGAAGGGUGCACAUUUUACUUGUUUUGAAACUAUCUUAUAUGUAUGUUUCAUUAAGUGAAUUAAAUAUUUUGUUUCAUUAUUUCUUGCGUAUGAAAAUAGGAUUAAGCAUAUGAUUAUUUUUUAUUUUGAUUUAUUCAUGUGAUGAAUAUUGAUUAAUAAUGAGGUAUGAAAUCUUUUGUUAUGUUGUAAGGUUUUAAGAGUUAUGAAUUAAUUCUUGAGAAAUAGGAUAAUCAACAUUAAAAUUAAUUCUACAAUCUUGUUAAUGGGUUAUAAUAGUUAGCAUACGACCUAAAAACAAAAAAUACAGACCUAAAAAUGAGUUGUGGCAGAGGCCGAGGGACAUAUAAAUAGAACUACUGGACAAGUGGAGGCAUCUUUUUUUCCAAGUCAACCAACAAGUGUUUCCAAAAUCCUUUUAGUUGUUUCCGAUCAAUGCAUUUAAAGUCAAGUCUUCUCAACUUACAUAUUUAUUCAUUGUGUUGAGAAAUUUGAACAGCGAUUGUGUUUGAGCCUGGAAUCAAAACUAAAUUAAUGGUAGAGAAGGAAAAAGUGUUGGUGCCGUGUUAGAAUGGGAAGCAUGAAUUGAAGCUGCAGAUAUUCUUGAAUUCUCACUGUCUGUCUACUUUUAUUUUGUUGUUCACCGGAAAGUCUUAUUGGGAUCUGCUAAUUAGACCCAAAUUUCAUUGCAACUCAUUACAACCAGUUCUAUUAUUUUUAUUUUUAAUUUUAGCGUUUAACUCACCUGACGUAAUAAUAAAACAAAAAUUUAUUGAAUAAAGAAAUUCUUUGUGUAGAUUACAGCUAAUUCAGGGCACCAUCAAAGCAACUUCAAGAAAUUACAAAAUUAUUCGGAUCAUCACCAGAAAGACUCAAUUGAUGAAUUAUUUUGAAUUUAAGUCAUAUUUGGAUUUUGAUGAAUUAUUUAAAAAAUAAAAUAAAGUAAAUUGAGAAGUCAUUAAGACUCAAUAUGGUUUGAAUUAUACUUCAACAGUUACGUGGAAAUGACUGAUUAAUUUUUUUUAUUCUUUUCAAGAGAAAGAAAGUUGUUGUUGAAACAUCGGAGGUAAGUAGAAUCUCACACCCUUUAGUAGUUGUUUUUUUUUUUUUUAAAGUUGCACACUUCACUUGUUUUCAAACUAUCUUAUAUGUAUGUUUCAUUAAGUGUAUUAAAUGUUUUUGUUUCAUUAUUUUUUGCAUAAAAAAUAGAGAUAAGCAUAUGAUUUUUUUUAUUUUGAUUUAUUCAUGUGAUCAAAUAUUGAUUCAUAAUGAGAUAUGAAAUAUUUUGUUAUGUUGUAAAGUUUUAAGAGCUACAUUAAUUCUUGAGAAGUACAAUAAUCAACACUAGAAGUAAUUUUACGAUCUUGUUAAUGAGUUAUAAUAAUUAGCAUAUGACCCAAUAACAGAAUAUAAUAAGCUAGCAAACAAUCCCACUAGUGAGUUAUAAUAGUUAACAUAUGACAUAGAACAUGAUUUUGAAUUUAAUUCAUAUUUGAAUUUUGAUGGAUUAUUUGAAAAAUAAAAUAAAAUAAAAUAAAUUGAGAAGCCAUUAAGACUGUGAGUACAUACACUUUAUAUAUUAAUCAAAUACUCAAGUGCAAUGUUUAGGAUUUAAAUUAAAGUCUAGCAAAUUACAACAUCUUCAAUGCAAAUUCUAAAUUCAGAAAAAAAAGAAGAAGAAAAAACCCUUCUUCAAAACAUGUGUUUUCCAAGCCCCAAAAGCUACAGAUAAAAGCUGGUGCUCACAAAUUUGAAAAUGAUCAAAGCUGAACAAGAAAAGCGAAUUUUCCACUAAAAACACCCGAAUUCUUCAAACCACUGCCAUGGGAAAUGAUUGAGCCAGAUGCUAGAGAAGCAGGGUCCAUUGGAUUCGGUUCGAAAGCCACCUUGACAAAUACAAAAAAAAAAAGAAAAAGAAAAAAUCAAUUGUAGAUUACAAAAGCAAUGAGAACUUUGUUGUAAUUCUACUUUGGCAAAAAACUCACCUAUGCAUGAUCUGGAUGUACUGCUAGUUUCUUCUUCCUCUGUUUCUGCGAAUCCACUUUGUAACAUUGUUUUGCCAAUCUCUCUCAACCAUUCUGAUAAACCACCAUGGUCUUCCUGUUGUGAAUACAAUGUAUCCCAUGCUCAAUCCUAGCACCACUCCACAUCCAUAGCCCAUCAUUACAACUUUCCAAAUAAAGGCUAUUUCAGAACCUUCUUCUUCCUUAACCAUUGGUACCGGUGGUUUUGGUUCAGGGUCGCCGCAUUGCUUUGACAGUGGGAGGCCACACAAUCCCAAGUUAUCACUAUAAGAAUCAUUCUCAAAAGUAUCAAAUUGCUUCCCAUGGGGAAUUGGUCCCACAAGAUCAUUUUGUGAAAGAUUUAACACUUCAAGGAAUGUCAGAUUCGUCAAUUGGGAAGGAAUUCUACCACCAAGCUUGUUUGAUGAGAGAUCUAACGAUUCAAGUGCUAUCAUAUUUCCGAUAGACGGUGAGAUAGGACCAGUCAAGUUGUUGUGAGACAAAUUGAGUCCUUGAAGCGAAAUAAGUUCUCCGAGUUCUUCAGGAAUUUGUCCACAGAAUAGAUUAUUGGAAAAGUCCAUAAAUGUGUAAAUGGCAAAGGUUUUCACCAACUCAAUCUCCAAUCUUUUCGUUGUUACAUUCACUGAGAAAUAGUCAUAAAAAGAUAAAGGUAUACCUCUUCUAUUCCAUCUCAUGAAUACUGAAGGUCUCUCUUCAGGUAUAUCUUUCAUUGCUCUCAAAUUUUGGAAGAAUUUUGUUGGCAAGGGACCGUUGAGCUCAUUAUGAGACAAAUCAAUUAUUUGCAAUGCAGAGAAGUUAGAUGAAGCUAUGGAAUUGGGCAUGGGACCAUGCAAUCUAUUAUUUCGUAAAAGAAGAACUUGCAGAUUUGGAAGUGAAGCUAACCAAUGGGGAAAGGUAUCAGUGAACUUGUUGUCCCUUAAAUUCAAAAGAUUCAAGGAACUACAAUUAGCCAAAGACCGCGACAAUAAUCCUUCCAAUUUAUUGUCAUUGAGGAGAAGAAUUUCCAAGUUAUUAUCUCUAAAAGAAUCAGGCAUUUUGCCAUGAAAAUUAUUCAUCUCCAAAUUCAUUACCAUGAGAGAAGAGCUGAGAUUUCCAAAACAUUCUGGAAUAGUUCCGCUCAAGUUAUUUCUAGACAACUCAAGAAUCAAAAGUGAACUCCAAUUGCAAAUCAAAAGAGGGAUAUUUCCGGUUAAUUUAUUAUUUGAAACGUAGAAUGCAAUCAAAGAUUGUGGUGGAUUUGGACUUUGAUUAUUCAAGCAAGUUGAUAGAAUUGGACCUUGAAGCAAGUUGGAUCGAAGGUCAAGAACGUCAAGAUUUUUUCCUGGAAAUUGCUCUAAAGUGGUCAAAAAGUUGUAAGAAAGGUUCAAAGAAUUCAAAUUGUCCCACCCUUCUGCUUCCCAUUUGGAAAUUCCACCAUGAAUCUUGUUAUUGGAAAGAUCUAAAUCCACCAAAUUUGAUGUUCGAAAGAAACUUGGGAACGGUCUUAUGUUACAAGAAGAGAAUGACACAGAAGCAAGCUUAGGGAAGGAAUAGUUAACAUCAUUUUCGC
rnacentral:lncRNA from 1 species